rnacentral:rRNA from 1 species
GAUGAACGCUGGCGGCGUGCCUAAUACAUGCAAGUCGAGCGAACAGACGAGGAGCUUGCUCCUCUGACGUUAGCGGCGGACGGGUGAGUAACACGUGGAUAACCUACCUAUAAGACUGGGAUAACUUCGGGAAACCGGAGCUAAUACCGGAUAAUAUAUUGAACCGCAUGGUUCAAUAGUGAAAGACGGUUUUGCUGUCACUUAUAGAUGGAUCCGCGCCGCAUUAGCUAGUUGGUAAGGUAACGGCUUACCAAGGCGACGAUGCGUAGCCGACCUGAGAGGGUGAUCGGCCACACUGGAACUGAGACACGGUCCAGACUCCUACGGGAGGCAGCAGUAGGGAAUCUUCCGCAAUGGGCGAAAGCCUGACGGAGCAACGCCGCGUGAGUGAUGAAGGCCUUCGGAUCGUAAAACUCUGUUAUUAGGGAAGAACAAAUGUGUAAGUAACUAUGCACGUCUUGACGGUACCUAAUCAGAAAGCCACGGCUAACUGCGUG